GACGAACGCUGGCGGCGUGCCUAAUACAUGCAAGUAGAACGCAGUUGCGAACGGGUGAGUAACGCGUAGGUAACUGCCUGGUAGCGGGUGAUAACUAUUGGAAACGAUAGCUACUACCUCAUACUACCCGAUGGACCUGCGUUGUAUUAGCUAGUUGGUGGGGUAACGGCUCACCAAGGCAACGAUACAUAGCCUACCUGAGAGGGUGAUCGGCCACACUGGAACUGGGACACGGCCCAGACGCCUACGGGAGGCAGCAGUAGGGAAGCUUCGACAAUGGGCGGAAGUCUGACCGAGCAACGCCGCGUGAGUGAAGAAGGUUUUCGGAUCGUAAAACGCUGUUGUUAGAGAAGCGUUAUCUAACCAGAAAGCCACGGCUAACUACGUGCCAGCAGCCGCGGUAAUAC
rnacentral:rRNA from 1 species